CACAGGCUGAAGGCGGCGGGGAAAUCAUCUGGAACAUGAUGGAAAUGUGUCAGGGGGGAGAUCCUGUGGGGGCUUCGUUCUGAGAGGGAAGAGUGGAUGACACACUGUUUCUGCAGGCUUUCCAAAAGCACUCAUGUGUCCAUUAGAUGUGCGUUUUGUUUGCUGCUGACGGCCUUGUGAUGAAGCCGGAUCACCGCUGCAUUAUUCCCUCUAUAGACAGAGGUGCACUUUCCUGGAUACCGAGUCUGAUUCAUCAACACCAGCCUGAAACCCAUUCAUGCGUCUGAAGCCGCAGGUGUUACCAGCGUGUAGCUGUAGAGGAAAAUAAGUGUGAACGUCAGGAGAAAAUAUUCCCGGUUUGAUCAGCGGAGCAGACUCUAAUGCAAUAACAGGCUGUUUUCAACGUCCCAAACCCCUGAAGGUGUUGAUGGUCCAUCAUUACUGCUGGAGCUGCUGCACUCUCGUUUUCCUACUUUUCUUCUCUUCAUAGAAACCUGUGAUCUUUGAACUGUGAUGCCUUUUGAUUAAAACAGAGAAUAAUUU